rnacentral:rRNA from 1 species
UGGUGUAAAGGAUGAUCCGCCUAAUAAUUUACUUUUAUUAUAUUGGUGUAUAUCUGGUUUAAUAUUAUUGCUGAAUGGCAGAAGUUGUGUAGUGUUAUUUAAGCCAAGUCUAUGUGCUGUUUAUAAAAGUAUUCAUGCGUUACAUUAAUAAGUAUUUAAUUGUAAUAUUAGAUGAUUUAGGACUUAAAAGUAAUGUUUAAUUAAUUAGUAAAUGUGAAAUAA